GACGAACGCUGGCGGCGUGCUUAACACAUGCAAGUCGAACGGAAAGGCCCUGCUUGCAGGGUACUCGAGUGGCGAACGGGUGAGUAACACGUGGGUGAUCUGCCCUGCACUUCGGGAUAAGCCUGGGAAACUGGGUCUAAUACCGGAUAGGAGCCAUUUUUAGUGUGAUGGUUGGAAAGUUUUUUCGGUGUAGGAUGAGCUCGCGGCCUAUCAGCUUGUUGGUGGGGUAAUGGCCUACCAAGGCGGCGACGGGUAGCCGGCCUGAGAGGGUGGACGGCCACAUUGGGACUGAGGUACGGCCCAGACUCCUACGGGAGGCAGCAGUGGGGAAGAUUGCACAAGGGGCGCAAGCCUGAUGCAGCGACGCCGCGUGGGGGAUGACGGCCUUCGGGUUGUAAACUCCUUUCGCUAGGGACGAAGCUUUUUGUGACGGUACCUAGAUAAGAAGCACCGGCUAACUACGUG
rnacentral:rRNA from 1 species